GAUUAUUAAGCUUUAAGCAGCUUGUUUUGAAAGCAAGAGAAAAGUUCUAGUAGACUUAAUAAUCU
rnacentral:tRNA from 1 species